UUUCCAGCAUGGCGCCCGUAAAGAUUAUGAACACGGAAGUAAAAAUAGUAAUAAAUUAUUAUCAAAAACAGGCCUCAUCAAACCGGGUCAGCCAUGAUAUAUUCUUGGAUGCAGUUUGUGCUUCAAAAGGAGCUACUUUUCAUGCCAGCCUAUCGAUACUAUGUGGGAACUGGGAUUCGGGAUGCUCUCCCACUGGUAUCAUAUGCAGAUCAGUGGUCACAAGAACGUACACAACAUCAUUAAUGUCAGCAAUAUAUAUCUCCAACUUCAAACACACAGCUUGCAAAAUCGCUGAAUAUUGCACAAAAGCAGCUUCGUUACAAACUUCCAGCAGCUCGAAAUCCACAAGCAGUCUCGUUCCCCACCCACUUUGACUUCGUAGCGAAGGCAUGUUUUUUUUGGGAAACCGUUAACAUCUCACAACUAAACGUAUACUACGGAGAUUGACAAGUUGAAAAAUAAAUUACUGUAAUCACUUCCAAUUUGCGCACUAAGUUAAACUCCAGUUCCAGUUUGUCUUUAUUGUUGAAAUGUUACUCUACACAUUCGCUUUGAAAAUAGAGGUUGGCGUGUUGUUGGAAGUACAUGUACAUGUCGAAUGUGUUAUUGUAAAAACUAUUGGUAUUGUGUUUUUAGUGCAGACAUUGUAUUUAAGUUUCGAUUUCUAGCAUAAAUUUAUAUAUUUUGUUAAAUAAUUUGCGUUUGAAUGUGAUUGUUUGUUGCUUACUUGCGAACUAUUUUUUAUGUGUAAAUAUGCAUAGACGCUAGUGGAUAUGUAAUCAGGUUACCAUAUUUACAACAAUAAAAUUUAACGGCUGUU